AUUGAACGCUGGCGGCAUGCUUUACACAUGCAAGUCGAACGGCAGCGCGGGGCAACCUGGCGGCGAGUGGCGAACGGGUGAGUAAUACAUCGGAACGUACCCAGAAGUGGGGGAUAACGUAGCGAAAGUUACGCUAAUACCGCAUACGUUCUACGGAAGAAAGUGGGGGACCUUCGGGCCUCAUGCUUUUGGAGCGGCCGAUGUCUGAUUAGCUAGUUGGUAGGGUAAAGGCCUACCAAGGCGACGAUCAGUAGCUGGUCUGAGAGGACGACCAGCCACACUGGGACUGAGACACGGCCCAGACUCCUACGGGAGGCAGCAGUGGGGAAUUUUGGACAAUGGGCGCAAGCCUGAUCCAGCAACGCCGCGUGAGUGAAGAAGGCCUUCGGGUUGUAAAGCUCUUUUGUCAGGGAAGAAACGGCUGAGGAUAAUACCUUCGGCUAAUGACGGUACCUGAAGAAUAAGCACCGGCUAACUACGUGCCAGCCGCCGCAGUAAAAC
rnacentral:rRNA from 1 species